rnacentral:rRNA from 1 species
UCCUGAUGUCACACUGCCAAGAAAAGCUUCUAGUGAGAAAGUAACUGCCCGUACCGCAAACCGACACAGGUAGUUGAGGAGAGAAUCCUAAGGUGUGCGAGAGAACUCUCGUUAAGGAACUCGGCAAAAUGACCCCGUAACUUCGGGAGAAGGGGUGCUGACCGCAAGGUCAGCCGCAGUGAAUAGGCCCAAGCGACUGUUUAUCAAAAACACAGGUCUCUGCAAAAUCGAAAGAUGACGUAUAGGGGCUGACGCCUGCCCGGUGCUGGAAGGUUAAGAGGAGAGGUUAGCGCAAGCGAAGCUUUGAAUUGAAGCCCCAGUAAACGGCGGCCGUAACAAUAACGGUCCUAAGGUAGCGAAAUUCCUUGUCGGGUAAGUUCCGACCCGCACGAAAGGCGUAACGAUUUGGGCACUGUCUCAACGAGAGACUCGGUGAAAUUAUAGUACCAGUGAAGAUGCUGGUUACCCGCGACAGGACGGUAAGACCCCAUGGAGCUUUACUGCAGUUUGAUAUUGCGUGUUUGUAUCACAUGUACAGGAUAGGUAGGAGCCGAAGAUACCGGGACGCCAGUCUCGGAGGAGGCAACGGUGGGAUACUACCCUUGUGAUAUGACCACUCUAACCCGCUGCUCUUAGCGAGCAGGGAGACAGUGUCAGACGGGCAGUUUGACUGGGGCGGUCGCCUCCAAAAAUGUAACGGAGGCGCCCAAAGGUUCCCUCAGAAUGGUUGGAAAUCAUUCGUAGAGUGUAAAGGCAGAAGGGAGCUUGACUGCGAGACCUACAAGUCGAGCAGGGACGAAAGUCGGGCUUAGUGAUCCGGUGGUUCCGCAUGGAAGGGCCAUCGCUCAACGGAUAAAAGCUACCCUGGGGAUAACAGGCUUAUCUCCCCCAAGAGUUCACAUCGACGGGGAGGUUUGGCACCUCGAUGUCGGCUCAUCGCAUCCUGGGGCUGUAGUCGGUCCCAAGGGUUGGGCUGUUCGCCCAUUAAAGCGGUACGCGAGCUGGGUUCAGAACGUCGUGAGACAGUUCGGUCCCUAUCCGUCGCGGGCGUUGGAAAUAUGAGAGGAGCUGUCCUUAGUACGAGAGGACCGGGAUGGACACACCGCUGGUGUACCAGUUGUUCUGCCAAGAGCAUCGCUGGGUAGCUAUGUGUGGACGGGAUAAACGCUGAAAGCAUCUAAGCGUGAAGCCCCCCUCAAGAUGAGAUUUCCCAUCACUUUAAGUGAGUAAGACCCCUGAGAGAUGAUCAGGUAGAUAGGUUGGGGUGGAAGUACAGCGAUGUAUGGAGCGGACCAAUACUAAUCGGUCGAGGACUUAACC